rnacentral:tRNA from 1 species
AGUAUUAUGUCUGAUUUAAGUAAUAAAUUGUAAAUUUAUUUAAGAAAUUGAAAUAAUUUCUAAUACUA